GGGAAACCGGAGACUAAUACCGGAUAAUAUUUUGAACCGCAUGGUUCAAAAGUGAAAGACGGUCUUGCUGUCACUUAUAGAUGGAUCCGCGCUGCAUUAGCUAGUUGGUAAGGUAACGGCUUACCAAGGCAACGAUGCAUAGCCGACCUGAGAGGGUGAUCGGCCACACUGGAACUGAGACACGGUCCAG
rnacentral:rRNA from 1 species